rnacentral:misc_RNA from 1 species
GAUGAAGAACGCAGCGAAAUGCGAUACUUGGUGUGAAUUGCAGAAUCCCGUGAACCAUCGAGUCUUUGAACGCAAGUUGCGCCCGAAGCCAUUAGGCCGAGGGCACGCCUGCCUGGGCGUCACACGUCGUUGCCCCCCCAUCUACUCCUUCGGGAUUGCGGGGGGCGGAUGAUGGCCUCCCGUGCGCCUCGCCGCGCGGUUGGCAUAAAUGCCAAGUCCUCGGCGACGCACGCCACGACAAUCGGUGGUUGCGAAACCUCGGUUGCCCGUCGUGUGCGGUCGUCGCGCAUCGAGGGCUCGAAAAAAUUACCGGGUUCCGGCUCGGCUUUCAACGCGACCCCAGGUCAGGCGGGGUUACCCGCUGAAUUUAAGCAUAUCAAUAAGCGGAGGA